UACGUAGGGGGCGAGCGUUGUCCGGAGUUACUGGGCGUAAAGCGCACGCAGGCGGUCGUGCCCGUUUCUUCUGACAGAUCCCGGCUCAACUGGGGUAGGCGGAGAAAGACGACACGACUUGAGGACUUGAGAGGGACGUGGAAUUCCAGGUGGAGCGGUGAAAUGCGUAGAGAUCUGGAAGAACACCGAAGGCGAAGGCAGCGUCCUGGCAAGUGACUGACGCUCAUGUGCGAAAGCUAGGGGAG
rnacentral:rRNA from 1 species